UAAGAGUUGCUGAAUCCCUCAAUGUCAUGCUGUCAGUUCUAGCUUCUCAAUGCUGUCACAAUGCCUCCAACUGCCACCUCUCACUGCAUCAGAACUUCUAACCUGAGGCAAAUGCAUGAAACUAGAAGAGAUUAUACUGAGUGAGAGAACCCAGACCCAAAAAGACAAACGUGGUCUUGAAGAGCCACUGGAGCAGAGCUGACCUACGAGGGACCACACCUGAGUCAGAAAACUGACUCUUCCUCCCCUAGAAGCCAUGAACUCUCCAUAGGUCCUAGGGUAUCAGACUGGGCUCAGGAGCCACUUUCCAUUCUAAGUUAGAAAGAUAGAUGGCUUGAUCUUGUGAAGUUUUUGUACAGACAACUGCAGCUGCUGUGACAUCAUGAAGGCAGUGGUCCUAUCAUAUGCAGAAGACACCUUCACUCUUGUCCUUCCAGAUCUGUGAAUAUUGCAAUAUUUCCAACCCAUUUUUCUAUGAUGGUCUUGAACUUUGAUAGCAGGGAGACAAAGGUAUACAAUUUGUAAUUGCCUGAGCACUCCAAUUUCAUUAUAAACAGAAAUGCACAUAAAUGUAAAUUUAUCUUUUACAUUCAAAUGAGUGAGUUUUAUGACUAUAUAUUAAUGUAAAUGUCUAUCAAUAUAAAUUAAUAUGUACACACACAUACCAGCAAGUGUAUACUUAUAGUCUUCCAUAAGAAUACAUACAUAUAUAUCCACAUUUUUUUCAUGACAUAAUCUAAACAUUAGUAAAUAAAUUCAGCUUGCAGCAUAAGAUUGCCAUUGGCCUUUGGGAAUCAGGGAGUGAAAUGUUGCUUUAGUAAGAAUGUCCUCCACAGGCUCAUAUAUUUGAAGACUUGAUCACCAGUUUGUGGUGCUGUCUCAGGAGAUUAUACAAUCUUUAACAGGUUUAGCCUUGCCAGAGGAAGUAUGUCACUAAGGUUAAACAUGUUUCUCAAUUUUUAAUCAUAUUAAUAUAAAGUAACUAUUAAAGAAUACAAUAAAUGUUUUAGAUUGUCCUCCAAAUACCUAUGUUUUCAGCUUCCAUAGAAUACAAUAAAUGUUUUAGAUUGUCCUCCAAAUACCUAUGUUUUCAGCUUCCAUUUAUGUUCAGCUCCUUUAGCUCCAACAAGUUUGACUCUGUUCCUUUCCAUGUUCCCAUGAAAUCCCACAUUUCAUAAGAAAAUGUUUGGUAUACAGAAUUUCAUAGUUUGUUACUAGCUAAAGUGUGACGAUACUUUGUGCUUUAAUAAGUAAAGCUUGCGUGAAGAUCAGAGUUGGGAGGUAAGCCAGUAGUUAACCAUGGAAGCCAGGCAGUGGUAACAUAUGCCUUUUAUCCCAGCACUCAGGAAACAGAGACAGACAGGUCUCUGUGAGUUCAAAGCCAACCUGGCCUACAUGAAAUUGAAUCCGUCUAAAAGAGAAACAGAGCUCAUACCUUUGAUCACAGCAUAUGGAUAACAUGCCUUUAGUCCCCGAACUAGGGAAGUGGAGACUGGAGUGAUAUGGCUGGGUGGGGAGAGGAAUAUAAGGCAGGAGACAGGAGCUUGGACCAUUCGGUCUGCGUAUUUCUAGGGACAGGAUUGCCCUAUAUGGUCUGAGGAUUCACUAAUGGUAACAACUAGUGGCUGACUCCUUGUCUCUUUGAUCGUUCAGCAUUUACCCUGAUAUCUGACUCUUGCUUUUUAUUAUUAAAACGAAUUAGAAUUUGUAUAACACUAAAGAACUGUAAAUAAUGUUUGAAUAUUCAGGCAUGUGUAGCAAGUAUUCAAUGUACUAUUGUUUUUGUCAUCAUAAAAAUAGUAAAUGGUUUGUUUAACGUAAAUGUAUCUUAGAAAUGAAUGUAUUCAUUAGAAUGAUGGCACAGAUAUUGACAGCUGGCUUUGUAAGGUUAAUGUGUAUAUAAGAAUAUCCAUCCAUAUAUAGACAAUUUCCAUGUUUCUGUGCAUGGAUUUCUUUGUUACCUAUACUUAUCACUCACUUAUACUGAAUAAUAUUUCUUUAACAAGUACUCAAUACCCACUACUCUGUUUCCAGAUGUCCCUGUGCUUGGCAGAUUUGAUGUGCCAUGUCCCAUAAAAAGCUUAUGAAACUGAACUGGUACUGGCCCCAUGUAAAACCUUUAUAAUUAAGAGUUAUAUACAGUACAUGUCACAGAGUGUCUUUGGCAACAAAUUAACACCUAACAUUCCCACUGGCAAAGUUGACCUCAAAAAUUUGCCCUUGAAAUCCAUAAAUGUAUAGCUUUGUCUGACUUCAGCAAGUUCAUGUAAAACCUUUAUAAUUAAGAGUUAUAUACAGUACAUGUCACAGAGUGUCUUUGGCAACAAAUUAACACCUAACAUUCCUACUGGCAAAGUUGACCUCAAAAAUUUGCCCUUGAAAUCCAUAAAUGUAUAGCUUUGUCUGACUUCAGCAAGUUCAUAUGAAUGUGCUUCACAGAUAAGAAAAUGGAUCCUAGCUACAUACACAAAGGGAAAACAAAACUCCAAAGAGAGAAAACAAUGGGACUACACAGUACAGAUGUACAGACACACAUUUUGUAGAGAUUUGAAAUAACAUCUUAGAUCAAAUGAAUGUUUCCCCUGAAAGAAACUAAUUAGGAAAAGAUAAGGGUGGUUUUAAAGGAUAUGAAAUGUAGUGAACAUACUUUGGCUGCUUAUUUUAAAAAGCUUUAGGGGCGUUUGUAAGAUAGCCACAUUUUAGUAAUCCAUAUCUUUUGUGAGAUUAAAUCUGUCUGAUGGGAAUAUUCUUGCCCAGAUAGAAUAAAGAGCACUGCAAAUUUGGUAAGGAACAGGCUAUCUUUAUUAAAGUAUUUAUCAUUUUUACAGCUGGAAUUGGUAUUAAUAUUUCAACAAACAAUCCCAGUAAGCCUUAUCUUCUCUUUGUUGACUUUAGUUAAGCACUGUCAGCAGUAGGCUAUUUAGAACAGCUUGGCCUGCUCAAGCAGAAUAAUUCAUCUUAGAACUUAUAAAAAAAUAAGCUCACUUUUAAUAUUCAGCAGCAGCAUGCCAAAGUAGAAACACAAACUUGGUCUAGAGGAUGUACAACUUCAGAAAUGUUAUUGAUGGUCUGCUUUUCCUGUUCUGUGGAGACAUUCAACAACACAGACAGGGUAUAAAUUCUUUUAACACUUUCAAAACACAGAGAUACUGAGCUCAUAGAUAUUUUUUUCUUUGUAAUCAUAGGCUAUUAAAUACAAGUGACUCAGAACUUAUUUGAUAAAAUCUUGCUGAAUGUAAGAAGAAAUCAUUAAGAAAAAAGAAAUAGAGAAACCAAUGCUUUGAAUUUAAAAAUUAUUUUGAAUUUUGUGUUUUAAAACUAUCUAAUUGUCAUUUGAAGCUGUGAAGAAAUUCAGAGACCAAGUGCCCUCAUUCACAAAUGCCUUUGUUUAAAAAACAGUAUGAUUAUGAUAUAAGAUUAGUUUUAACUACUUUCUUGAAUGUAGUAGAUUCAAGAUUCUGAUCAUUGAAUCUACUAUACAAUUAUUGCUACACUUAGGUGAAUGAUUUCAGUCAUAAAUCAAUCAUUCUGGAAAAAUCAUGUUAGGUCAAUAAUGUUUUAAAAGAUGAAUGACUAUAAAUUACUUCAUUGGGCCACUCAUCUUAUGAAAUUACAUUGAGAGUGUAUGGUUUAACUUGGUAUUUAACUGCUUUUUUAUGCAAGCACAGUAAUUUGAGGCUGACUCUUGAGCUUCCUGGACACCACUAAUCCUAUAUGAGUUUCAGAAGAACAGCCCCUAGAGAGCAUCUGGGACAACAGAUUUCACCAAUUCCUUAGGGUAGAGGGCUCUAUGGAGUUACAAGUUACCAGGCACUGAUGUGUGCAAGCAAGUUUUACAAGUUAUUUUGCUAAUGGUUAUUGUCCCACGUACUUGACAGUAAAAUGAAUUUUACUAUCACCAUAAUAAUUUAUUAAAAACAAUAGGAAUUUGUCAUUUCACUUUAGGUAUAGUGCAACUUAGAUUAAAUUAUUCACAUUAUAGACUAUAUCCCCAUAAUAUUUAUACAUGCACAUGUGAAAAUGCUAAGCACUGAUAUCACAGUAUUAGAAGAUGAUUCCUAUGUAACUGAGGUUGAGACAAGAUCAUGAAAAUGAGCCUCCAACAAAAAGUGAUCUGAAAACAGAAGAGUAGAGUCUCAGAGUCUCUCUCUCUCUCUCUCUCUCUCUCUCUCUCUCUCUCUCUCUCUCUCUCUCUCUCUUUCCCUCUCUCUGAGCAAAGGAGUAGCCUUUUUAAAGCAUCACUUCACAUGACUUUGAAUUUGUCAGCAACAUGAUCUUGAAUAUUCCAGCUUUAUAAAUUGAGAUAUAAAUACUAAAUAUAUAUUUAUGUAUAUAUAAAUAUAUAAAACCCCAGUUGGUGGGAUUCUGUCUCAAUCACCCUCUUUAAAUAAUGGUGUCUUCUAACACACAAGGCAUGGUAACAUUACAAUAUUUGCAUUAGUCACAUCUGUAAUAUUUCUCUGCAAUCUUUGGCUGUCUUUAUUGAUGAUAUACAUAUCUUGCUAUAUAAUAUUGCAAAAGAUGUUGAUGAUUUCAUUUCAUUUUCCAAUAUGUGGUUAGAGUGGAAACAAAAUAGUUGUGUGUGCAUUGAUCUCCUUUGCAGAACACUCACUGGUUUCUACAAAUUCUAGAGAGCUGUGUCUCACAGGAUGCAAAAAUUGGAAAGUUGACAACAAUUUUACCUUGAAGUAGUGGCAUUUUAUUCUAUACACACCCUUGUAUUUUCAUUCAUGUAAUGUGAUUUCAGAAACCCUACGAUCAGGAAAUAUAUUUUUUCCUCCUUUUAUUAAGAUUUAUUACCUUUUCAAACUUUUUUUUGUAAAUAUAAUACACUGACUUAAAUCACUCAA